rnacentral:rRNA from 1 species
CCUACGGGUGGCAGCAGUGGGGAAUAUUGCACAAUGGGGGAAACCCUGAUGCAGCGAAGCAGCGUGAGUGAAGAAGGAAUUCGGUAUGUAAAGCUCUAUCAGCAGGGGAGAAAAUGACGGUACCUGAGUAAGAAGCUACGGCUAACUACGUGCCAGCAGCCGCGGUAAUACGGAGGGUGCAAGCGUUAUCCGGAUUUACUGGGUGUAAAGGGAGCGUAGAUGGCAGUGCAAGUCUGGAGUGAAAGUCGGGGGCUCAACCGCAGGACUGCUCUGGAAACUGUCAGGCUGGAGUGCAGGAGAGGUAAGUGGAAUUCCUGGUGUAGCGGUGAAAUGCGUAGAUAUUAGGAGGAACUCCAGUGGCGAAGGCGGCUUACUGGACUGUAACUGACGUUGAGGCUCGAAAGCGUGGGGAGCAAACAGGAUUAGAUACCCGAGUAGUC